rnacentral:rRNA from 1 species
UGGGGAAUCUUCCGCAAUGGACGAAAGUCUGACGGAGCAACGCCGCGUGAGUGAAGAAGGUUUUCGGAUCGUAAAACUCUGUCUUUUGGGGCGAACGUGAGUAUGGUGAACAAUCAUAGUCAGUGACGGUACCAAAGGAGGAAGCCACGGCUAACUACGUGCCAGCAGCCGCGGUAAUACGUAGGUGGCAAGCGUUGUCCGGAAUUAUUGGGCGUAAAGAGCGCGUAGGCGGAUAGUCAGUCUGUUGUAAAAGUGCGGGGCUCAACCCCGUGAUCGCAAUGGAAACAGCUAUUCUUGAGUGCAGGAGAGGAAAGUGGAAUUCCCCAGUGUAGCGGUGAAAUGCGUAGAUAUUGGGAGGAACACCAGUGGCGAAGGCGACUUUCUGGACUGUGUCUGACGC